GACGAACGCUGGCGGCGUGCUUAACACAUGCAAGUCGAACGGUGAAGCGCUUUCCUUUUUGGUUGGUGUGGAUGAGUGGCGAACGGGUGAGUAACACGUGAGUAACCUGCCCCCUUCUUCUGGAUAACCGCAUGAAAGUGUGGCUAAUACGGGAUAUUCUGCGCCUGCUGCAUGGUGGGUGUGGGAAAGAUUGUGCCUUUGGGUGUUUUCGGUGGGGGAUGGGCUCGCGGCCUAUCAGCUUGUUGGUGGGGUGAUGGCCUACCAAGGCGGUGACGGGUAGCCGGCCUGAGAGGGUGGACGGUCACACUGGGACUGAGACACGGCCCAGACUCCUACGGGAGGCAGCAGUGGGGAAUAUUGCACAAUGGGCGCAAGCCUGAUGCAGCGACGCCGCGUGAGGGAUGGAGGCCUUCGGGUUGUGAACCUCUUUCGCCAGUGAAGCAGGCCUGCUCCUUGUGGGUGGGUGGACGGGAGCUGAUAAGAAGCGCCGCA
rnacentral:rRNA from 1 species